rnacentral:rRNA from 1 species
AUUGAACGCUGGCGGCAUGCCUUACACAUGCAAGUCGAACGGCAGCAUGAUCUAGCUUGCUAGAUUGAUGGCGAGUGGCGAACGGGUGAGUAAUACAUCGGAACGUGCCCUGUAGUGGGGGAUAACUAGUCGAAAGAUUAGCUAAUACCGCAUACGACCUGAGGGUGAAAGUGGGGGACCGCAAGGCCUCAUGCUAUAGGAGCGGCCGAUGUCUGAUUAGCUAGUUUGUGGGGUAAAGGCCCACCAAGGCGACGAUCAGUAGCUGGUCUGAGAGGACGAUCAGCCACACUGGGACUGAGACACGGCCCAGACUCCUACGGGAGGCAGCAGUGGGGAAUUUUGGACAAUGGGGGCAAGCCUGAUCCAGCAAUGCCGCGUGUGUGAAGAAGGCCUUCGGGUUGUAAAGCACUUUUGUCCGGAAAGAAAACGAACUUACUAAUAUUAGGUGUGGAUGACGGUACCGGAAGAAUAAGGACCGGCUAACUACGUG